rnacentral:misc_RNA from 1 species
CUGUUCGAGCGUCAUUUCAACCCUCAAGCUUUGCUUGGUAUCGGGCUACAUCAGUAAUGGUGGGCCUUAGAAUCAGUAGCGGUGCCAUCUGGCUCUAAGUGUAGUAAUAUUUCUCGCUAUAGACGUCUAACGGUAUCCUGCUAGAACCCCUAAUUUCUAUGUUUGACCUCGGAUCAGGUAGGGAUACCCGCUGAACUUAA